UGCGGAAAAAAUUGUGGUGGUGCCACUGAAUUUAACUUGAUGCCUGCAUAUUUUUUCCUAGAUGCCAGAAGUCUACAUUCAAGCCUACAAGAUACAGUCCGACACCUUUAAACCGCUGAGAGAUCUUCUUGAUGACGCUAACACUUUGCUUGAUGUUGUCUGGGACUCAGACUGUUUGAAAACCGUCCGUGAGCUACCGUGUAUGCCCAUCUACUGCUCCGAAACUGAUGAAAAUAUUGUUGAGAUAAAAAAUAAGAGGAAAGAUUGUAAUAGAG
rnacentral:lncRNA from 1 species